AUUAGAUACCCUGGUAGUCCACGCCGUAAACGUUGGGCGCUAGAUGUAGGGACCUUUCCACGGUUUCUGUGUCGUAGCUAACGCAUUAAGCGCCCCGCCUGGGGAGUACGGCCGCAAGGCUAAAACUCAAAGGAAUUGACGGGGGCCCGCACAAGCGGCGGAGCAUGCGGAUUAAUUCGAUGCAACGCGAAGAACCUUACCAAGGCUUGACAUACACCGGAAACGGCCAGAGAUGGUCGCCCCCUUGUGGUCGGUGUACAGGUGGUGCAUGGUUGUCGUCAGCUCGUGUCGUGAGAUGUUGGGUUAAGUCCCGCAACGAGCGCAACCCUCCUUCUAUGUUGCCAGCGCGUUAUGGCGGGGACUCAUAGGAGACUGCCGGGGUCAACUCGGAGGAAGGGGGGGAGGAGGUCAAAUCUUCAUGCCCCUUAUGUCUUGGGGUUCACGCAUGCUACAAUGGCCGGUACAAAGGGCUGCGAUACCGUAAGGGGGAGCGAAUCCCAAAAAACCGGUCUCAGUUCGGAUUGAGGUCUGCAACUCGACCUCAUGAAGUGGGAGUCGCUAGUAA
rnacentral:rRNA from 1 species